ACAAUGGAGAGUUUGAUCCUGGCUCAGGAUGAACGCUAGCGGCAGGCCUAAUACAUGCAAG
rnacentral:rRNA from 1 species